GGCCCUACGGGGUGCAGCAGGCGCGAAAACUUUACAAUGCUGGGAACAGCGAUAAGGGAACCUCGAGUGCCAGGUUACAAAUCUGGCUGUCGUGAUGCCUAAAAAGCAUUAUAUAGCAAGGGCCGGGCAAGACCGGUGCCAGCCGCCGCGGUAACACCGGCGGCUCGAGUGGUAACCGUUAUUAUUGGGUCUAAAGGGUCUGUAGCCGGCCGGAUAAGUCUCUUGGGAAAUCUGGCAGCUCGACUGUCAGGCUUUCAGGGGAUACUGUCUGGCUCGAGGCCGGGAGAGGUGAGAGGUACUUCAGGGGUAGGGGUGAAAUCUUGUAAUCCUUGAAGGACCACCAGUGGCGAAGGCGUCUCACCAGAACGGACCUGACGGCAAGGGACGAAAGCUAGGGGCACGAACCGGAUUAGAUACCCGGGUAGUCCUAGCCGUAAACGAUACUCGCUAGGUGUCGGCCACGGUGCGACCGUUGUCGGUGCCGUAGGGAAGCCGUGAAGCGAGCCACCUGGGAAGUACGGCCGCAAGGCUGAAACUUAAAGGAAUUGGCGGGGGAGCACCACAACGGGUGGAGCUUGCGGUUUAAUUGGAUUCAACGCCGGAAAUCUUA
rnacentral:rRNA from 1 species